GCUCGCUGCGCGCCGGUCCUGGGUGCCAGGGUUCUGCGGAUCAGGAGUUGAAACCAGCAUCUUCCCUUCAUCUGAGUCCUGCCUCCUUCUGCAGAAGGGAGCUCAAAAGAACUUUGUUGUUUUGCCUUUUACUCUGGGGUGAAAGCAGCAGACGAUAAGGAGAAAAUAAUGAAUGUCAAAGGAAAAGUAAUUCUGUCAAUGCUGGUUGUCUCAACUGUGAUCAUUGUGUUUUGGGAAUAUAUCAAUAGCCCAGAAGGUUCUUUCUUGGGGAUAUAUCGCUCAAAAAACCCAGAGGUUGAUGACAGCAGUGCUCAGAAGAGCUGGUGGUUUCCGAGCUGGUUUAACAAUGGGAUCCACAAUCAUCAACAAGAGGAAGAAGACAUAGACAAAAAAGAGGAAGAGAGGAGACCAAAGAAAGGAAGAUGACACAACAGAGCUUCGGCUAUGGGACUGAUUUAAUCCAAAAUAUAUUGAGCAUUACUUGGAAGAGUUCAUAACACCUGCUAAUAGGUACUUCAAGGUCGGCCACAAAGUCAUAUUUUACAUCAUAGUGGAUGAUGUCUCCAAGGUGCUGUUUAUAGAGCUGGGUCCUCUGCAUUCCUUAAAAGUGUUUGAGGUCAAGCCAGAGAAGAGGUGGCAACACAUCAGCAUGAUGCCUGUGAAGAUCAUCAGGGAGCACAUCUUGGCUCACAUCCAACACGAGGUCGACUUCCUCUUCUGCAUGGAUGUAGACCAGGUCUUCCAAGACAAUUUUGGGGUGAAGACCCUAGGCCAGUCAGUGGCUUAGCUACAGCCCUGGUGGUACAAGGCAGAUCCUGAUGACUUUACCUAGGAGAGGCAGAAAGAGUCAGCAGCAUGCAUUCCAUUUGGCCAGGAGGAUUUUUAUUACCACACAGCCAUUUUUGGAGGAACACCCAUUCAGGUUCUCGACAUCCCCCAGGAGUGCUUUAAGAGAAUCCUCCUGGAAAAGAAAAAUGACAUAGAAGCUGAGUGGCAUGAUGAAAGCCACCUAAACCAGUAUUUCCUUCUCAACAAACCCUCUAAAAUCUUAUCCCUAGAAUACUGCUGGGAUUAUCAUAUCAGCCUGCCUUCAGAUAUUAAAACUGUCAAGCGGUCGUGGCAGACAAAAGAGUAUAAUUUGGUUAGAAAUAUCAUCUGACUUCAAAUUGUGCCAGUAGAUUUCUGAAUUUGAGAGAGGAGUAUUCUGGCUACUUCCUCAGAAAAGUAACACUUAAUUUUAAGUUAAAAAAAAAUACUAAUGAAACACCAACAUGGCAAACACAUACCAUUCCUUCUUGUAACUUGAGGCUUUGUAAUGUGGGAGAAUGAAUCUAGGGUAAUCAGAUGUAAAUUCCCAGUGAUUUCUUAUCUAUUUUGGGUUUGGGGGAAAUACUAUCAACUGAACCAAAAAGAACUUGUCAUAGGCAAAGAUAAAGCCAGAAACACUCUACACAUGCCACAUAACAUCUGGAGAAAAGGGUGCUAAGGGAAGCGUUUGGCAGCAAGAUAUGAUUGUAAGGGGUUGUCCCUUGAGUUCAAUGCCUGCCUAUUUCCAAUGGAUCUAAAACAACGUGAAGUUACUGUGCAGCAGAGCUCUCAGUAAAGACACCAUUUGCCUUGGCAAUCCUCAAAAUGCUUCAAUAGCAGAUUGCUUCAGGCCAUCUGUAGUCCGUCCUUUUCUCAUCAGGAUGUUGUUUGGCUUCUGUGCGAAAAAUUGGUGGAGUGUCCUGGUAGAUAUUGAAACUAGGCCUCAUAUAGAAAAAAUUAACACCAAGUGGCUCUGGAUAGAGUCCCACCCUGCCUCGAUAAGGACCCACCCUGAUAGGGUCCCACCCUGCCAAUUCCGGGAAACAACCUCAUGGGGUCCCACCCUGCCAAUUCCGGGGGUCCCACCCUGCCUCGAAGUUCCUGGAAUCAACAACUCCAGGAAAAAACCUCAUAAGGUCCUGCUCUAACCAAUUAGCAUAAGACGCCUUGCUCAGGCCAUAGCUAGACCCAAUCAUUUUGCGCCUUAAGCUUUGUUUGAAUUUCGCGCCCUAAGCUGUGUUUGAACUUGUGUUUGCCUAUAUAAACAGCCUGUAACAAGCAGUCGGGGUCCCAGGGCCAACUUAGAGCUUGGGACCCUAGCGCGCUAGUAAUAAAUAACUCUCUGCUG